rnacentral:tRNA from 1 species
GAGUUGGUGGUUCAGUGGUAGAAUUCUCACCUUCCGUGUGGGAGACCUGGGUUCGAUUCCCAGCCAGGGCA